rnacentral:rRNA from 1 species
UAAUACAUGCAAGCUCGAGCGCGGGAAGCAAGCGGAUCCCCUUCGGGGGUGAUGCUUGUGGAACGAGCGGCGGACGGGUGAGUAACACGUGGGCAACCUGCCUGUAAGACUGGGAUAACCCCGGGAAACCGGGGCUAAUACCGGAUAACACUGGACUCCACAUGGUAGUCGAGUUGAAAGAUGGCUUCUCGCUAUCACUUACAGAUGGGCCCGCGGCGCAUUAGCUAGUUGGUGAGGUAACGGCUCACCAAGGCGACGAUGCGUAGCCGACCUGAGAGGGUGAUCGGCCACACUGGGACUGAGACACGGCCCAGACUCCUACGGGAGGCAGCAUUAGGGAAUCUUCCGCAAUGGACGAAAGUCUGACGGAGCAACGCCGCGUGAACGAUGAAGGUCUUCGGAUCGUAAAGUUCUGUUGUCAGGGAAGAACAAGUACCGUGCGAAUAGAGCGGUACCUUGACGGUACC